rnacentral:rRNA from 1 species
CAGUAGCCGCGGGAAUACGGAGGGGGCUAGCGUUGUUCGGAAUUACUGGGCGUAAAGCGCACGUAGGCGGCUUGGUAAGUUAGAGGUGAAAGCCCGGAGCUCAACUCCGGAAUUGCCUUUAAGACUGCCGAGCUAGUAGGUGAGAGAGGUAAGUGGAAUUCCGAGUGUAGAGGUGAAAUUCGUAGAUAUUCGGAAGAACACCAGUGGCGAAGGCGGCUUACUGGCUCAUUCUAGACGCUGAGGUGCGAAAGCGUGGGGAGCAAACAGGAUUAGAUACCCGAGUAGUCCCUGUCUCUUAUAA